AACAAAGUGGCCGAGUUCAGGCAAAAGAUUGUAGCUCUUUGUACGGGUCAUUCCCCUUUGUAC
rnacentral:tRNA from 1 species